rnacentral:rRNA from 1 species
UGAUGGCGACCGGCGCACGGGUGAGUAACACGUAUCCAACCUGCCGAUGACUCGGGGAUAGCCUUUCGAAAGAAAGAUUAAUACCCGAUGGCAUAGUUCUUCCGCAUGGUAGAACUAUUAAAGAAUUUCGGUCAUCGAUGGGGAUGCGUUCCAUUAGGUUGUUGGCGGGGUAACGGCCCACCAAGCCUUCGAUGGAUAGGGGUUCUGAGAGGAAGGUCCCCCACAUUGGAACUGAGACACGGUCCAAACUCCUACGGGAGGCAGCAUG